rnacentral:rRNA from 1 species
ACGGAAGUUUUCGGAUGGAAGUUUGUAAUUCUUAGUGGCGGACGGGUGAGUAACGCGUGGGCAACCUGCCCUAUACAGGGGGAUAGCAGCUGGAAACGGCUGGUAAGACCGCAUAAGUCGGCGGAACCGCAUGGUUUUGUCGGGAAAUGAGCAAUCAGGUAUAGGAUGGGCCCGCGUCCGAUUAGCCAGUUGGCAGGGUAAAAGCCUACCAAAGCAACGAUCGGUAGCCGGACUGAGAGGUCGGACGGCCACAUUGGGACUGAGACACGGCCCAAACUCCUACGGGAGGCAGCAGUGGGGGAUAUUGCACAAUGGAGGAAACUCUGAUGCAGCGACGCCGCGUGAGUGAAGAAGUAUUUCGGUAUGUAAAGCUCUAUCAGCAGGGAAGAUGAUGACGUACCUGACUAAGAGCCCCG